UACGAAGGGGGCUAGCGUUGCUCGGAAUUACUGGGCGUAAAGCGCACGUAGGCGGUCUUUUAAGUCGGGGGUGAAAUCCUGGAGCUCAACUCCAGAACUGCCUUCGAUACUGGAAGACUCGAGUCCGGGAGAGGUGAGUGGAACUGCGAGUGUAGAGGUGAAAUUCGUAGAUAUUCGCAAGAACACCAGUGGCGAAGGCGGCUCACUGGCCCGGUACUGACGCUGAGAAGCGAAAGCAUGGGGAGCGAACAGG
rnacentral:rRNA from 1 species